AUACGGAGGGUGCAAGCGUUACUCGGAAUCACUGGGCGUAAAGCGCGCGCAGGCGGCCAUUUAAGUUGGAUGUGAAAGCCUACGGCUCAACCGUAGAACUGCAUCCAAAACUGUCAGGCUAGAGUGUGGGAGAGGAAGAUGGAAUUAGUUGUGUAGGGGUAAAAUCCGUAGAGAUAACUAGGAAUACCAAAAGCGAAGGCAAUCUUCUGGAACACUACUGACGCUGAGGCGCGAAGGCGUGGGGAGCAAACAGGAUUAGAAACCCCAGUAGUCC
rnacentral:rRNA from 1 species